GUGCUCGCUUUGGCAGUACAUACACUAAAAUUGGAAUGAAAUAGAGAUGAUUAGCACAUCCCCUGUGCAAAGCCACACACAAAUUUGUGAAGUGUUCCAUAGUUUU